AGCAAAGUGGCCGAGAACAGGCAAAAGAUUGUAGCUCUUUUUACGGAUCAUCCCCUUUGCAA
rnacentral:tRNA from 1 species